rnacentral:rRNA from 1 species
CGAGGGCGAUCAGGCGAUAGCUGCUAUGCCGCUGGCGACCGGCGCACGGGUGAGUAACGCGUAUCCAACCUCCCCCUUAGUAGGGAAUAGCCCGGCGAAAGUCGGAUUAAUGCCCUAUGUUCUUCAAAGCGGACAUCUAACUUGAAGCAAAGAUUGAUCGCUAAGGGAUGGGGAUGCGUCUGAUUAGCUUGUCGGCGGGGUAACGGCCCACCGAGGCGACGAUCAGUAGGGGUUCUGAGAGGAAGGUCCCCCACAUUGGUACUGAGACACGGACCAAACUCCUACGGGAGGCAGCAGUGAGGAAUAUUGGUCAAUGGGCGUAGGCCUGAACCAGCCAAGUAGCGUGCAGGAAUGACUGCCCUAUGGGUUGUAAACUGCUUUUAUGCGGGAAUAAAGUCAGGUACGUGUACCUGUUUGUAUGUACCGCAUGAAUAAGGACCGGCUAAUUCCGUGCCAGCCGCAGC